UCUUCCUUAUGCUUCAUUCCUUCACUCUUCCUUUGCAUCUCCGAUUCCUUCCUUUUCAAUUUUAGCCAUCACCGGCAUGAGCUUUGACCACCGAUUUGUCAUAGCUAGCUGGAGUGAGAGCUCAUUUUUUGCUGUUGGAAGUCAACUAAAAAUCUCUUCCUUGUUCCUUGUACAAGCUCAGCGUUUCAUUGGGUUAAGUGUUAUGUCUUCCUCUGUUCCUUGCUCAACUUGAGAUCCCAUCUUCUCUCCCUAUUCGGUUGGCAAUCUCUUGAUCUCUCCCUCUUUCACUAUUAUUAGUGAUUAAGGAUGUGCGUAAGAUGAGGAUCCUGAUAGAAAUUGAAGAAAGAAUAUUGUGAGAAUCUGGAACUUCAACAAAUUUGUUAGCUGACGCUAAUCCUACCAUCGACCUCUAAAGGAAAAACUAGCUACAAUGGGUGGACAUUUUUUAUUGGUACUGUUGCUGUUAAUGUAAAUAUAUAAUUUGUAUGUCUUUUUGAUUUAAAAGAAAGAGUAGAUGCUCCACAUAGGUUGUUGAUAGACCUUA